AAUUGCACAUAUAUUAAUAGUCCACAUCCAAGUAUUCUUUUACUGGAGCUAUAAUCCCCAAAAGAGAGACCAUUAAGCCUUUAAAUCAACGAUAUCCUGGCUCUUUUCCUGGUUUUAUCAUGACAGCAAAACCAAGUUGUGCUGAGGGUUAAGGUGCGUGUUCAUGGAACUGUCAGUUGUUUGGUUCUGGAAGUGUGUUCCUUUACUAAGAUUUUGCAGAUGUAUUAGCAAUCAUUUCAACAUAUGAGGUUGAAAUGAUUGGCUCAUACAUAUGAGGUUGUUUUAGAGAAAUUUUCUACCUUAGCCGUUAAUUUCUGAGUAAGAGCCAAAAAUACUAAUUGUCACCAUUUCUGCAUUGAGAUAUCUACAUCUACCUAAUCUAUCACCGAUAGCUCCGUACAUGGGAUGGUAUUGUGAUAAGUGACCUUUAAAAUAUAAUUGGACAGCUGCCAUCUCAGAAAAAAACUGAGCGGUGUGGAAUGGUUUUCUAAUUUUUUGUAUCGUUAAGUUGACUUGUUCUAAUCACUGGAUUAAUUUGAUAAAACAAUUAUGCCUGCACCUUGGCCAGUAACAUUAGAGAGUAAUUUCAAAAUUGCUCAGUGAAAUUAUGCCAGGUGUUCUGAUAUUACAGAUAUCCUAAUAAAACUAGAGGGAAACUACCUUUAUUAUUGGAGAAAUAAGUGUUUUCAAAGCAAAAGAGGAGAUCUCUGUAUUAAGUGGAAUCUCAAGAAAAGGAUCAACAUUUGAUCCUUUUGAUGCGACUUUAUGGUUGUCACAAGUGAUUACAACUAGUGUUAUUCUCUUGACAAUUCAGAGCUGGACACUGGGGAUCCUCUGUUGAGAUGUAGGUAAUUUAUUUUUGAGAUGGAAACUAAACUGAAAGAGAGCCAGAGCCAUUUUUAUGUGAUACAGCUAAUAGGGUUUGGUAAGCACAAUAAUGCCCUCCAAAGGUGUCCAUGUUCUAAUUCUCAGAUACAGCAAAUAUACAUUCCAUGGCAAUGGGUAUGAGAAGUUGCACAUGGGAUCAAAAUUGCUAAUUUGUUGGUGAAAAAUAAGGAUACUAUCCUGAAUUACUAUGGUAGGUUCAAACGUCUAAUCAUAAAGGUUCAAAAUGUGAGAGACGAAGAAUUAAAAGCGUUGAAAGAUCGGCAUGUCAGAAAGACAACUAGAUAUUAUUUUUUUCCAUUGUUUUGGUGAUUCUUUCCCUAUUAGCAUAAAUUUUAUUCAGUUCCACUGUGCACAUAUGAUUGGGUAAUUUUAUAUAUUUGUAGCAUCGAUGUGCUAAAUAUAAAAUAAGAAUGCAGAACAAAGAUACGAUUUCUAAAGAGGGAUGCCCAGGUACCAUGGGUAUCUAUACCCAGGAAUAGACAGUGCGCAUCUUAUAAGGGGAAGACUGUGAAUGUGUUGGUAUUUCAUAUACUAAUUGGUGUAGAAAAUGAUGCAGAGGCUGGAUUAUCAAGAAUUUAUAUGAGAUAGGGCUUACCAAGAUUAAGAGGGCAAAACAAUAAAAGUGAUUUGUGAUAAUUUUGACUAAUGCAGAAUUAACAAUGAUGAAGUGAGAUUUUUGGGGGUUUUUCUGAUGUACAAAGCCAAUUUCUGGCCAGGUGAAGUAGCUCACACCUGUAAUUCUAGUGCUUUUGGAGGCCAAGGCAGGAGAAUCACUUUAAAGACAAGCCUGGCAGCAUAGCAAGACUCCAUCCCCACUACACAUUUUUUAACAAUUAGCUUCACCUGGAAUCCUAGCUGUUUGGGAGACGAAGGCAGGUAGCCACUUGAGCCCAGGGGGCCCAGAACGUAGUGCGUUAUUGCACCACCGCACUUCAGCCUGGGUGACAGAGCAAGACCCUGUCUUGAAAAAAAAAAAAGUAAAAUAUGAAAAAUACAUAAAGUUCAUUAUUAAGAACACAAUUUUGGUUUAUGUAAUUACUAAAAAAUACCUUCUGUUUUCAAGCUGACAUUGCAGUCCCAGUCAACACCUUUCUCCUUUUCUUCUUCAUCUUCACACUCCUGGAUCACAGGCCGAAGCACACGGACCUGAUCACCUGUCACUUGACUUUUGUUCACUCAAUGAUGCACCCCACU
rnacentral:lncRNA from 10 species